AGAAAUAAAUUUAAAUGAACUUCUAAUUCAUUAUCAUAUGUUAAUGAACAUAUUAUUUCUC
rnacentral:tRNA from 1 species